AGAGUUUGAUCCUGGCUCAGAACGAACGCUGGCGGCAGGCCUAACACAUGCAAGUCGAGCGCACCUUCGGGUGAGCGGCGGACGGGUUAGUAACGCGUGGGAACAUACCCUUCUCUAAGGAAUAGCCACUGGAAACGGUGAGUAAUACCUUAUACGCCCUUCGGGGGAAAGAUUUAUCGGAGAUGGAUUGGCCCGCGUUAGAUUAGAUAGUUGGUGGGGUAACAGCCUACCAAGUCUACGAUCUAUAGCUGGUUUUAGAGGACGAUCAGCAACACUGGGACUGAGACACGGCCCUGACUCCUACGGGAGGCAGCAGUGGGGAAUCUUAGACAAUGGGCGAAAGCCUGAUCUAGCCAUGCCGCGUGAGUGAUGAAGGCCCUAGGGUCGUAAAGCUCUUUCGCCAGGGAUGAUAAUGACAGUACCUGGUAAAGAAACCCCGGCUAACUCCGUGCCAGCAGCCGCGGUAAUACGGAGGGGGUUAGCGUUGUUCGGAAUUACUGGGCGUAAAGCGUACGUAGGCGGAUCAGAAAGUUAGGGGUGAAAUCCCGAGGCUCAACCUCGGAACUGCCUCUAAAACUCCUGGUCUUGAGUUCGAGAGAGGUGAGUGGAAUUCCAAGUGUAGAGGUGAAAUUCGUAGAUAUUUGGAGGAACACCAGUGGCGAAGGCGGCUCACUGGCUCGAUACUGACGCUGAGGUACGAAAGUGUGGGGAGCAAACAGGAUUAGAUACCCUGGUAGUCCACACCGUAAACGAUGAAUGCCAGUCGUCGGGCAGUAUACUGUUCGGUGACACACCUAACGGAUUAAGCAUUCCGCCUGGGGAGUACGGUCGCAAGAUUAAAACUCAAAGGAAUUGACGGGGGCCCGCACAUGCGGUGGAGCAUGUGGUUUAAUUCGAAGCAACGCGCAGAACCUUACCAACCCUUGACAUCCUGUGCUACUACCAGAGAUGGUACGUUCCCUUCGGGGACGCAGUGACAGGUGCUGCAUGGCUGUCGUCAGCUCGUGUCGUGAGAUGUUCGGUUAAGUCCGGCAACGAGCGCAACCCACAUCUUUAGUUGCCAGCAGUUCGGCUGGGCACUCUAAAGAAACUGCCCGUGAUAAGCGGGAGGAAGGUGUGGAUGACGUCAAGUCCUCAUGGCCCUUACGGGUUGGGCUACACACGUGCUACAAUGGCAGUGACAAUGGGUUAAUCCCAAAAAACUGUCUCAGUUCGGAUUGGGGUCUGCAACUCGACCCCAUGGAGUCGGAAUCGCUAGUAAUCGCGUAACAGCAUGACGCGGUGAAUACGUUCCCGGGCCUUGUACACACCGCCCGUCACACCAUGGGAGUUGGUUCUACCCGACGACGCUGCGCUAACCUUCGGGGGGCAGGCGGCCACGGUAGGAUCAGCGACUGGGGUGAAGUCGUAACAAGGUA
rnacentral:rRNA from 1 species